rnacentral:rRNA from 1 species
GACGAACGCUGGCGGCGUGCCUAAUACAUGCAAGUAGAACGCACAGUUUAUACCGUAGCUUGCUACACCAUAGACUGUGAGUUGCGAACGGGUGAGUAACGCGUAGGUAACCUGCCUGGUAGCGUGGGAUAACUAUUGGAAACGAUAGCUAAUACCGCAUAAUAUUAAUUAUUGCAUGAUAAUUAAUUGAAAGGUGCAAUUGCACCACUACCAGAUGGACCUGCGUUGUAUUAGCUAGUAGGUGAGGUAACGGCUCACCUAGGCGACGAUACAUAGCCGAACUGAGAGGGUGAGCGGCCACACUGGGACUGAGACACGGCACAGACUCCUACGGGAGGCAGCAGUAGGGAAUCGUCGGCAAUGGACGAAAGUCUGACCGAGCAACGCCGCGUGAGUGAAGAAGGUUUUCGGAUCGUAAAGCUCUGUUGUAAGAGAAGAACGGGUGUGAGAGUGGAAAGUUCACACUGUGACGGUAUCUGACCAGAAAGGGACGGCUAACUACGUG